UGGGGAAUAUUGGACAAUGGGCGCAAGCCUGAUCCAGCCAUGCCGCGUGAGUGACGAAGGUCUUCGGAUUGUAAAACUCUUUUGGCGGGGACGAUAAUGACGGUACCCGCAGAAUAAGCCCCGGCUAACUUCGUGCCAGCAGCCGCGGUAAUACGAAGGGGGCUAGCGUUGUUCGGAAUCACUGGGCGUAAAGCGCACGUAGGCGGAUGUGCCAGUCAGGGGUGAAAUCCCGGAGCUCAACUCCGGAACUGCCUCUGAUACAGCACGUCUUGAGUUCGAGAGAGGUGGGUGGAAUUCCUAGUGUAGAGGUGAAAUUCGUAGAUAUUAGGAAGAACACCGGUGGCGAAGGCGGCCCACUGGCUCGAUACUGACGCUGAGGUGCGAAAGCGUGGGGAGCAAACA
rnacentral:rRNA from 1 species